ACACUGCGGUGGUCCGGGAUCGUUCUGCGCAGAUACUGCAGAGCUGACGCAUUCUUUGCCUGGCAUCUCAGCUUGCUAGGUGUCUCCUCUUCGCUCUGCGCUCGUGGCCUCCUCCAAGGCCUCCAGUCUCCUUUAAGAAAACUCAAGACCUGGGAAGCUACGAUGCGAGCUUGAUGCCGCUACCCUUGCAGGCUAUGGACUUCCUGAGGGUCCUCGGACUGUUGACACGCAUUCCGAUCUGCAUCCUUCCAAGCUGAUAAGCCCGGGACUCUAGGGCAGGGUGCCCAGACUCAUGUGUGACGCCUUGCAGUGAAACCCCAUUCCCAGUGUGGUGGCUUCUUUGCUGGGCCUUGGCCCAUUUGAUACCACGAAGGAUGACGAUGCUAGUUAUGCAGCAGCCAACACACCUCCUCCCAACUCUCCGCUCUCACUGGUGGGCCCCACUGUCCAGGAAGCAGGUGUCCGGAACUGACAUCUUGGCGCAGAGGGGCCGUGAGAGGUGUGUGUAUCCUGCCAGAAAGCAGCUGGACCACGGCGCUCCCAAGAUGAACCCACUGUACACAGAAGCAUCAUGGGAGUUGUCAUGUCAGGAGCAUUCUAGACCCACGUGUACUUGAGCAUGGAAAGACAGAAGAUAGUGCAGAGACUGGGGCACUGAUCUGCUCACCAUGAUCGCCUGCAGGGGUCUCAUCCAGGCUACAGUGGCGGUGUCCGCGGCUGCCAUUCAACGUGCCCUCAGACCCAGACCGGCUCACCACUGAGGAGAACCUGUUCGCUUUGGUGGGUAUGCAGAGGGAAGGGUCUCGACUCCACAGACCUGGAGUCCAAAGUUGUUUUUUUUUUUAUUUACCAGUAAUUUAUUUUUAAUACCAUUCAAGCUACCGCUGUCUGUCUGCUUAGAGUCACAGCAUGCAAUGUGGCACCAAGGCAUCCUUGUCCUCACAGUUUUACACUGUGGGAACAGGCAUCCUUGUUCUCACAGAUUAGCGCGAGGGAAACCAGAAAUAUUAAACACGCAGGGUUGUCUCUCCAAAGGGAGAGGCACAUACCCUGUUUCCCUCCCGGAAGGCUGGGAGCGGAGGUGUUUGAUAUCCUGGCGACCUCUGUGCAGUCUGUAGGCCGUGUCCUUAAGAUGUAGCUGUCAGUCAGUAGUGGAGCCGGAGCCGUCGGUCAGUAGAUUGGGGUCGUGGCAUGCGCCUUUAACUCCAUUUUAUUCCAGCACCCUAGCAGCAGCAGCGGUGGUGUGGCCCUGUGUAGUUCCGAAGAACAGCUUUCAUCCCAGCGCUUCAGGCAGCAAAGGCGGGUGGAUCUCUGAGUUCAAGGCCAGCCUGGUCUACAGAGUGAGUCCAGGACAGCCAGGGCUACAACAGAGAAAACCUCUCUAUUGAAAAAUAAAGAAAUUAUUAAAAAAAAAAAAAAAAAAAAAAAAAAAGAUGUCACAUGUCCUGUGUACUUUACAAAGAAUGUUGUUGCUUAAGCUUUUUUUGGGCACACGGGAUUAUCACCAGAAAAUUGUUUAACUGCCUGGUGUCAGACUCCUGAAGUUUGAACCAGCAUUUAGCCGGGCGUGGUGGCGCACGCCUGUAAUCCCAGCCCUCGGGAGGCAGGGGCAGGUGGAUCUCUGAGUUAGAGGCCAGCCUGGUCUACAGAGUGAGUCCAGGACAGCCAGGAUUACACAGAGAAACCCGGUCUCGAAAAUGUAAAGUAAAAUAAAAUAAAGUUUGAACCAACAGUGUUUACUGAGUCGUGUUGAAACAGAUUUCCUUUUUGCUUCUCUUUGAUCAUUAUUCUGCUGUGGUGUCAGCAGAGACCCCCUCCAACAGGUGGCCAACGUAAGAGUCUCAAGCCCGAGAAGGUAAGAAUUAAAAAAAAAAAAAAAAUAGAAUCAGGAGUAGGAGUUUGGACCUCUCACCCGGGAGAUCACAAAGGUAAGUAAGGGAGUAAAAUAAGCUUGGGUUCUUCUCAAUCCUCUGAGACGAAGCAUUUUAUAUUUUACUGACAUGUUUGUUAAGCUCCAAGGGAGCAAAAUACUCAGAGCAAGGCUCUGAAGCUUGGUACAAGAGUCUGUAAAAUUCAGUCCUUGGUUUCCUAAACCAGAAACGAUUGAUGUUAAAAACUGGGAAUGCAGCCAGGUGGUGGUGUCUAUAGAGAAAGCCCCAGGAUAGCCAGGGCUUCAUAGAGAAAUCCUGUCUCGAAACAAACACGCAAACAAAAAAAUUGGAAAUGCAUAGGAGCUAAAGAAAAGGAACCCAUGAAAGAGGAGAUAAAAUCCCUAUCAAUUAUUUUGCAAGCUGGAGCACAGUAGUGCAUGUAACUCUCUGAGGAGGAUCAUUGAAUAAAACCUUUUCUCUCUCUCUCUCUCUCUACAGGCCAAGUGGACUCCGCUGCUGAUUUGGUCCCCCAGCCAGGCUCAGUCAGGGCUUUUGAGAUGGAACUCAGAGUGUCCAUGCAAUGGUGUGCUCACAGUCUUGCAAAAUAAGGCAUUUUAUCUUGUCUUUCACAUACAAAAUGGAGGCUUUCUCACUGCAGGCCUCUCAGCCAUUGAGAGACCAAACACCACCCAGAUUCCUUUGUACUUAAAAAACAUAGGGGCAAAUUGGAACCAAGAAAUUUAUUUUAUAAUAUUUCUUCUGGCUGAUACGGUGUCCAAGGACUGAAAACAUAAUUGCACACUAACUUUAAUUUUUUUUUUCUUCAAAGGAUAAUGCUUUCAAAGGAUAACACUUUUUUUCUCCCCCUAAGGUAUAUGUUAAAAAAAAAAAAUCUAAAAACUAACCAAUGGAAAGGGCCCGAUGUCCUAACAUCGAGGCGAGAUUGUGCUUAUGUCUUACAGAAAACUAAAUGAAGUCCCAGGUGGCUCCUGCUAUAACACAUCUGGCAAGGACACAUCUAGCAAGCAUCCUGGAGAUCACCAGACAAAGGAAGUGUGGGAAGCUAGACGACAAAUCCAUCAAAAGGAGAUGUCCCAAGAGGAAGAGGAGCCAAGUGAAGUGUCUGAAGAGAGACGACAAAUCCAUCAAAAGGAGAUGUCCCAAGAGGAAGAGGAGCCAAGUGAAGUGUCUGAAGAGAGACGACAAAUCCAUCAAAAGGAGAUGUCCCAAGAGGAAGAGGAGCCAAGUGAAGUUUCUGAAGAGAGACAACAAAUCCAUCAAAAGGAGAUGUCCCAAGAGGAAGAGGAAACCAAUAACUCGGGGAGGCAGCAAGCCAAGACUUUGGGGGAAACAAGGACAUAAUACUACUGACCCCAAAACAAUUUAUUGACUGUAUUGUUACAUUUAUUGACUGUAUUGCAUGUUGAUUCUCAGCUUGUCAGUGAAGAAUCCAAAAGCCUUUUGUCAGGGGGGAUCAAAGGCAUUCUUGUAAUAGGGAGAGAAUGCUGUUGUUUUGCCAUGCUAAGAGUUGUUUUCAUCCUUUGGGACCAGUUGUCUGGAAAAAAGAUAGUGUACAAAUGUUUAGUCACAUGGUGGGCAAUAUUUUGGUUGGGCUAAUCUAAGUGACCAAACGUAAUAAUACAGAUUUUUAGCAUAAUUUAGUACUCUUUUAGAAAGCUCUGAUAGUAGAAAUUAUCGUUGUAUGGAGUGUUAUACCCAGUUCGCAAGCUCCCAAAAGAUCUACAGGAAUCGACUCCGUUGCAAAAUACAUGAGGGUCUUUUUAUUGUAAAUUACAAGCUGCAGCUUGGGCCUACACAGCCCUAACACCGAAGCGGUGGGAGCUGAGCACGCCGCCCCAGGUUAGUUGGGUGGUUUAUAGAUUCUGGUCCAUCCCAGCAUGCCCAAGGCAGGGGCAAUUCCUGCCUGGCAAGCAUCUAUUGGUCAAGAUGCUACAUUUUGAAUUGAUUGGCUAUAGGAAGGUUCCCAGACUAUUGACCAUGACUAGGUGUCCCUCCCUAGGGGGAGGGGCCAGUUUCCUAGCAACUGUAUCUCUACUGGGUGGGGAAAGAACCCAGUUCGAGAGGUAGCUCUCCCCUCAGGGCAUUUACUAACUUCUAUACUGCACCUACUCUAGGUCUUAACGAUCAUUUGCUGCUACUUUAUCUUUUGGUCUCUCAGGAGAUGGAAAAAAAAAGGAGUGCCUGAUGUGUUGUUUUACUAAAGUUGAACCGACACCAUGGUGUUACUGAGUUGUGUUGAAUCAGACUGCCUUUUUGCCUCAUGUGAAUCUUACUCUGUUGGCCUUGGUGGUCACAGAGACCCCCCCAUAGCCAUGGGGGGGUCUAAGAAUGUGGCUUCCCUCACCCCAGCCAAGUCAUGUGUGGCUUGUCUCUGCCUUCUUGCCUAUGAACCCCCUUGCUUUCUUUCAUGGAAACAUGUACCCCCCUGCUUGCUGUCAUGGAAAUCCCUGCUUACAGUCUUUCCCUUUGAAAACCUGCUCACUCAGGGAUCAGGGUCCCACUUCUCUACUGCUGUGUCAGUAAGACUUGGGUCCCAAGUUCAAUCGCUCUCAUAAUAAAGCUCUCUUGCUCUUGCA